rnacentral:tRNA from 4 species
UCCGAUAUAGUAUAACGGUUAGUAUAACCGCCUCUCACGCGGUAGAUCGGGGUUCGAUUCCCCGUGUCGGAA